rnacentral:misc_RNA from 1 species
GUUCCGUAGGUGAACCUGCGGAAGGAUCAUUAUUGUAUAACCGAGGUGCGAGGGCUGUCGCUGACCCGAAAGGUCGUGCACGCCCGAGUGCCCUCACACACAUCCAUCUCACCCCUAUGUGCACCACCGCGCGGGUCCCCCUUUGGCUUGUUCGGAGGGGGGCUUACGUUUUCACACAAACUUUGUAUGCAGUGUAGAAUGUAUUUUUUGUUUUUGCGAUCACGCAAUCAAUACAACUUUCAACAACGGAUCUCUUGGCUCUC